GUGCGAUAUCGAAGGAGAAAGGGUUAACACUUCCCAUGAAAAGGAUGGAAGACAUCCUAGUGGUCUUUCCAACACACAUCUACUAGACUGUAAGCUCGUUGU
rnacentral:ncRNA from 1 species